UUGCUUCUUUGCACUAGCCACGAAAGAAUGAAUUAAAAAUGGGUGAUGUUGAGAAAGGCAAGAAGAUUUUUGUUCAGAAGUGUGCCCAAUGCCACACGGUGGAAAAGGGAGGCAAGCACAAGACUGGGCCAAAUCUCCAUGGACUGUUUGGGCGGAAGGCAGGUCAGGCUGCUGGAUUCUCUUAUACAGAUGCCAACAAGAACAAAGGCAUCACCUGGGGAGAGGAUACACUGAUGGAGUAUUUGGAGAAUCCCAAAAAGUACAUCCCUGGAACAAAAAUGAUCUUCGCUGGCAUUAAGAAGAAGGGAGAAAGGGCAGACCUAAUAGCUUACCUCAAAAAAGCCACUAAUGAGUAAUAGCUACUGCCUUAUUUAUUACCAAACAGAAAUGUCUCUUGGCUUUUUUAUGUGCACCAUGAUUUAAUUGAUGUGAUACACCAGAAAUCAGAUCAUGAAUGACUGACAAAAUUAUUUUUGUUGGACAAUCCUGAUUUAAGUAAAACUUACUUGUAGUUAAAUUAA